UACGAAGGGUGCAAGCGUUACUCGGAAUUACUGGGCGUAAAGCGUGCGUAGGUGGUUCGUUAAGUCUGAUGUGAAAGCCCUGGGCUCAACCUGGGAAUGGCAUUGGAAACUGGCGACCUAGAGUGCGGUAGAGGGUAGUGGAAUUCCCGGUGUAGCAGUGAAAUGCGUAGAGAUCGGGAGGAACAUCCGUGGCGAAGGCGACUACCUGGACCAGCACUGACACUGAAGCACGAAAGCGUGGGGAGCAAACAGG
rnacentral:rRNA from 1 species